GCAUGACCUUUCAUCGCACGAAACUCCUUCGACAAGUUUUAUGAACAUAACACCUGCAGGAAGACGUUCUCAACCAAACAUUAAUGGCUUCCAAAGAUCAGUUCUCACGAAACUGGAAACAUUAAUUGAUAAGCUAGAAGAAACGUAGUCAAUAUUGCGUGCUCUGUUAAGCAAUAAGAAAGGUGUAGACGAGCACGAAAUUUUGAAA